rnacentral:rRNA from 1 species
UGAGUACGAGACACUACGGUGUCGAAGCAGUCUAUGUCAUACUUCCAAGAAAAGCUUGCACUGUCAUAAACAAAUAAUGCCUGUACCAUAACCGACACAGGUGGGUAGGUAGAGUAUACUAAGGGGCGCGAGAUAACUCUCUCUAAGGAACUCGGCAAAAUGACUCCGUAACUUCGGGAGAAGGAGUGCCUUAUAUUUUAUAAGGUUGCAAUAACAAGAUCCAAGCAACUGUUUACCAAAAACACAGGUCUCCGCUAAGUCGUAAGACGAUGUAUGGGGGCUGACGCCUGCCCAGUGCCAGAAGGUUAAAGAAGUUGGUUAGUAUUUGCGAAGCUGAUAACUGAAGCCCUGGUGAACGGCGGCCGUAACAAUAACGGUCCUAAGGUAGCGAAAUUCCUUGUCGGGUAAGUUCCGACCCGCACGAAAGGCGUAAUGAUUUGGAUACUGUCUCGGAGAGGGACUCGGUGAAAUAGACUUGUCUGUGAAGAUGCGGACUACUUGCGCCAGGACAGAAAGACCCUAUGAAGCUUUACUGUAACUUGAAAUUGAAAUUGGACUUUACUUGCGCAGUAUAGGUGGGAGGCUUUGAGAAUAUUCUUGCGGGAAUAUUGGAGCCAUUAGUGAGAUACCACUCUGGUAAUGUUAGAUUUCUAACUUUGUAUCAUUAUCUGGUCAAAGAACAGUUUCAGGCGGGCAGUUUGACUGGGGCGGUCGCCUCCUAAACGGUAACGGAGGCGCACAAAGGUUUCCUCUGAACGGGUAGAAAUCGUAUCUAGAGUGUAAAGGCAUAAGGAAGCUUGACUGUGAGACCUACAAGUCGAGCAGGGACGAAAGUCGGUCUUAGUGAUCUGACGGUGCUGAGUGGAAAGGCCGUCACUCAACGGAUAAAAGUUACUCUAGGAUAACAGGCUGAUCUCCCCCAAGAGUUCACAUCGACGGGGAGGUUUGGCACCUCGAUGUCGGCUCAUCGCAUCCUGGGGCGGUAGUACGUCCCAAGGGUUGGGCUGUUCGCCCAUGAAAGCGGUACGCGAGCUGGGUUCAGAACGUCGUGAGACAGUUCGGUCCAUAUCCGGUGUAAGCGUUAGAAUAUUGAGAGGAGCCUUCCUUAGUACGAGAGGACCGAGAAGGAUGCACCGCUGGUGUACCAGUUAUUGUGCCAACAGUAAACGCUGGGUAGCUAUGUGUGGAGUGGAUAACCGCUGAAAGCAUCUAAGUGGGAAGCCCACCUCAAGAUAAGUAUUCUUAUCACGUAAGUGAAUAAGGUCACGGUAAGACUAACCGUUUGAUAGGCAUUAAGUGUAAAUCUAGUAAUAGACGAGCUGAGAUGUACUAACAGACCGAAGAC